rnacentral:rRNA from 1 species
CAGCAGCCGCGGUAAUACGAAGGGUGCAAGCGUUACUCGGAAUUACUGGGCGUAAAGCGUGCGUAGGUGGUGGUUUAAGUCCGUUGUGAAAGCCCUGGGCUCAACCUGGGAAUUGCAGUGGAUACUGGGUCACUAGAGUGUGGUAGAGGAUAGUGGAAUUUCCGGUGUAGCAGUGAAAUGCGUAGAGAUCGGAAGGAACAUCUGUGGCGAAGGCGACUAUCUGGGCCAACACUGACACUGAGGCACGAAAGCGUGGGGAGCAAACAGGAUUAGAUUCCCCUGUAGUCCCUGUCUCUUAUAC